CAGCAGUCGCCACGGUAAUACGAAGGGUGCAAGCGUUACUCGGAAUUACUGGGCAUAAAGCGUGCGUAGGUGGUGGUUUAAGUCCGUUGUGAAAGCCCUGGGCUCAACCUGGGAAUUGCAGUGGAUACUGGGUCACUAGAGUGUGGUAGAGGAUAGUGGAAUUUCCGGUGUAGCAGUGAAAUGCGUAGAGAUCGGAAGGAACAUCUGUGGCGAAGGCGACUAUCUGGGCCAACACUGACACUGAGGCACGAAAGCGUGGGGAGCAAACAGGAUUAGAUACCCGCGUAGUCCCUGUCUCUUAUAC
rnacentral:rRNA from 1 species